GCCCAGGGGGCUGCCUUCGCCAUCGGUGUUCCUCCGCAUCUCUACGCAUUUCACUGCUACACGCGGAAUUCCACCCCCCUCUGCCACACUCAAGCUCGCCAGUUUCCAAUGCCAUUCCCAGGUUGAGCCCGGGGCUUUCACAUCGGACAUAACGAACCGCCUGCGCACGCUUUACGCCCAGUAAUUCCGAUUAACGCUCGCACCCUACGUAUUACCGCGGCUGCUGGCACGUAGUUAGCCGGUGCUUAUUCCGCCGGUACCGUCAAAAACGCGGAGUAUUAGCCCGCGCCUUUUCUUCCCGGCUAAAAGCGGUUUACAACCCGAAGGCCUUCUUCCCGCACGCGGCAUGGCUGGAUCAGGGUUGCCCCCAUUGUCCAAAAUUCCCCACUGCUGCCUCCCGUAGGAGUCUGGGCCGUGUCUCAGUCCCAGUGUGGCUGAUCAUCCUCUCAGACCAGCUACCGAUCGUCGCCUUGGUAAGCCUUUACCUCACCAACAAGCUAAUCGGGCAUCGGCCGCUCCGCGAGCGCGAGGUCCUUGCGGAUCCCCCGCUUUCCUCCAGAGAGCGUAUGCGGUAUUAGCCCGGCUUUCGCCGGGUUAUCCCCCACUCCAGGACACGUUCCGAUGCAUUACUCACCCGUUCGCCGCUCGCCGCCAGGGUUGCCCCCGCGCUGCCGCUCGACUUGCAUGUGUAAAGCAUGCCGCCAGCGUUCAAUCUGAGCCAGGAUCAAACUC
rnacentral:rRNA from 1 species